rfam:Rattus norvegicus chromosome 7, whole genome shotgun sequence.
GAGCUAUCUGGCUAUGGCAUCUGUCGACCAAUUGAUUGACAUGGUUUUCAGCUCAUCUGGAUGAUUAGGGAGCUAUCUACUUUGAUGUUCAUCCUUCCUAAAGAUGUGGGCUCCCUCAAAGAGAAUAACCUAAAAUGAUUAUAGGAUAAACAAUUUUCAGUCAAGGGUGCAGGAGUAGCUGCAGUCCCCUGCUAAAAUAUCCAGACAAGUUCUAAGAGGAGAUUCUAAAUUAAUAGCUCUUAUAAAGCAGAAAUACUCUAUUUUCAAUGAAAAAAGUUUUA